rnacentral:tRNA from 1 species
CCGUCCUUAGCUCAGUUGGUAGAGCAGCUCCCUUUUAAGGAGAUGGUCGUAGGUUCGAAUCCUACAGGACGGA